GAUGAACGCUGGCGGCGUGCCUAAUACAUGCAAGUCGAGCGAACAGACGAGGAGCUUGCUCCUCUGACGUUAGCGGCGGACGGGUGAGUAACACGUGGAUAACCUACCUAUAAGACUGGGAUAACUUCGGGAAACCGGAGCUAAUACCGGAUAAUAUAUUGAACCGCAUGGUUCAAUAGUGAAAGACGGUUUUGCUGUCACUUAUAGAUGGAUCCGCGCCGCAUUAGCUAGUUGGUAAGGUAACGGCUUACCAAGGCAACGAUGCGUAGCCGACCUGAGAGGGUGAUCGGCCACACUAGAACUGAUGCACCGUCCAGACUCCUACGGGAGGCAGCAGUACAGAAUCUUCCGCAAUGGGCGAAAGCCUGACGGAGCAACGCCGCGUGAGUGAUGAAGGUCUUCAGAUCGUAAAACUCUGUUAUUAGGGAAGAACAAAUGUGUAAGUAACUAUGCACGUCUUGACGGUACCUAAUCAGAAAGCCACGGCUAACUACGUG
rnacentral:rRNA from 1 species